GAUGAACGCUGGCGGCGUGCCUAAUACAUGCAAGUCGAGCGAACGGACGAGAAGCUUGCUUCUCUGAUGUUAGCGGCGGACGGGUGAGUAACACGUGGAUAACCUACCUAUAAGACUGGGAUAACUUCGGGAAACCGGAGCUAAUACCGGAUAAUAUUUUGAACCGCAUGGUUCAAAAGUGAAAGACGGUCUUGCUGUCACUUAUAGAUGGAUCCGCGCUGCAUUAGCUAGUUGGUAAGGUAACGGCUUACCAAGGCAACGAUGCAUAGCCGACCUGAGAGGGUGAUCGGCCACACUGGAACUGAGACACGGUCCAGACUCCUACGGGAGGCAGCAGUAGGGAAUCUUCCGCAAAGGGCGAAAGCCUGACGGAGCAACGUCGCGUGAGUGAUGAAGGUCUUCGGAUCGUAAAACUCUGUUAUUAGGGAAGAACAUAUGUGUAAGUAACUGUGCACAUCUUGACGGUACCUAAUCAGAAAGCCACGGCUAACUACGUG
rnacentral:rRNA from 1 species